rnacentral:tRNA from 1 species
GUUAUUGUAGCUUACUUAUUUUAAAGCAUAGCACUGAAAAUGCUAAGACGGGUGCUCAAAUCACCCCGAAAACA